AACGCGAAGAACCUUACCUGGGCUCGAAAUGUACAGGAAUCCGGUGGAAACAUCGGCGCCCCGCAAGGGGCCUGUAUAUAGGUGCUGCAUGGCUGUCGUCAGCUCGUGUCGUGAGAUGUUGGGUUAAGUCCCGCAACGAGCGCAACCCUUAUUACCAGUUGCUACCAUUUAGUUGAGCACUCUGGUGAGACUGCCUCGGAUAACGGGGAGGAAGGCGGGGAUGACGUCAAGUCCUCAUGCCCCUUAUGUCUUGGGCUGCAAACAUGCUACAAUGGCCGGUACAAAGGGUUGCGAGACCGCAAGGUGGAGCGAAUCCCAAAAAGCCGGUCUCAGUUCGGAUUGGGGUCUGCAACUCGACCCCAUGAAGUCGGAGUCGCUAGUAAUCGCGAAUCAGCAACGUCGCGGUGAAUACGUUCCCGGGCCUUGUACACACCGACUGUAC
rnacentral:rRNA from 1 species